rnacentral:rRNA from 1 species
GAGGAAUAUUGGUCAAUGGGCGCGAGCCUGAACCAGCCAAGUAGCGUGCAGGAUGACGGCCCUAUGGGUUGUAAACUGCUUUUGUAUGGGGAUAAAGUCAAUCACGUGUGAUUGUUUGCAGGUACCAUACGAAUAAGGACCGGCUAAUUCCGUGCCAGCAGCCGCGGUAAUACGGAAGGUCCGGGCGUUAUCCGGAUUUAUUGGGUUUAAAGGGAGCGUAGGCCGGAGAUUAAGUGUGUUGUGAAAUGUAGACGCUCAACGUCUGACUUGCAGCGCAUACUGGUUUCCUUGAGUACGCACAACGUUGGCGGAAUUCGUCGUGUAGCGGUGAAAUGCUUAGAUAUGACGAAGAACUCCGAUUGCGAAGGCAGCUGACGGGAGCGCAACUGACGCUUAAGCUCGAAGGUGCGAGUAUCGAACAGGAUUAGAUACCCUGGUAGUCCGCACAGUAAACGAUGGAUGCCCGCUGUUGGUACCUGGUAUCAGCGGCUAAGCGAAAGCAUUAAGCAUCCCACCUGGGGAGUACGCCGGCAACGGUG